rnacentral:rRNA from 1 species
GAUGAACGCUGGCGGCGUGCUUAACACAUGCAAGUCGAACGGGAAACAUUUCAUUGAGGCUUCGGCGGAUUUGGUCUGUUUCUAGUGGCGGACGGGUGAGUAACGCGUGGGUAACCUGCCUUGUACUGGGGGAUAACAGCCAGAAAUGGCUGCUAAUACCGCAUAAGCGCACGGGACCGCAUGGUCCUGUGUGAAAAACUCCGGUGGUAUAAGAUGGACCCGCGCUGGAUUAGCUAGUUGGCAGGGCAGCGGCCUACCAAGGCGACGAUCCAUAGCCGGCCUGAGAGGGUGAACGGCCACAUUGGGACUGAGACAUGGCCCAGACUCCUACGGGAGGCAGCAGUGGGGAAUAUUGCACAAUGGGGGAAACCCUGAUGCAGCGACGCCGCGUGAAGGAAGAAGUAUCUCGGUAUGUAAACUUCUAUCAGCAGGGAAGAUAAUGACGGUACCUGACUAAGAAGCCCCGGCUAACUACGUGCCAGCAGCCGCAGUAA